rnacentral:lncRNA from 1 species
CAAGAAAUAGAAGACAGUAAAUCCUUUAAAUAUGUACUGUAUUAACCAUUUCUCUCAGAGCCCAGAUGAGCACUUUAUACAGGAACUUGGCUGCAAACAGAAGCCUGUUCGUUUGGUGGUGGACUGAACGUUUAAAGCUAAAUGUUUUAUCUCAGAUUUGUGGCAAGCAUCAAAGACUCUCAGCAAAUCUCCUCUGACAGUAAGUUUGAGGCAUCAUGGUGUGCACCAUAUGGACCUACAACUGAACAGAAAUGCUCCCAGCUAUUGCAAUAUGUUCACUUCGUUUACCAUUGUCAAACUUAUGAUUGAAUAAUUCCAAUUUUCUCUGAAAAAUCCGGGAAAAGUGUGGAGAACUUUAAGAAAUCUAGCACGAUACUUCAUCUAAACUCUUCUGAGUAUCCCCUCAGAGACACUGCCAGCUGAUCAGCAGUGGACUGAGCUUUCCCAAGUACAACUGUAGCCAAUGGUGAUUUCCUUUGAGCAGUGAAAGAUCUCUACAAAGAAACAUUAACAAAAGAUGUGAGAAAAGAAGGUUCAGUUGUGUCCUUUGUCUGACUGGGAAUUUGAGCCAAGGUCAUCCAC